CAGGAAGCACCAGUGUCACCACAUCGCCUGGCGGUCUCUGCCCGGAAUGCUCAAGACGGCAGCACCGGGCCCCAGUUAGGGCGGCGCAGGCACGGGUCCCGCGGGACGAUGCGGGCGCGUCCUGGGCAUCCACCAGCCUCGCUGAUGCUGGGGAGGAGUGGACGUCUCAUCCUCGGGGUCGUGGCUGCAUUUGGCUGAGGACGGGCCACAUGCAAUCCGGCCCUUAAGGCAACUCGGGAAUCACAAGGUGCGAAUUAACAGGGCGCAGCAGAGCCCAUUUUCCUAUGGCAACGACUCCACCAAUCGCCAGCUGCACGCCGCGCAUGCGCUUGAGUCAGGACCCACGAGGUCCCUCUGGUGCAGCCGCCCUGAGCUCAGCCCUGGAGCACACAAGGGGUCGCCGCCGGGCUCCUGUGUGAGCAGGAGAAGCUGACCUCUGUGUGGAGCGGUGGCAGGAGGAAGAAGUGGGGACUCUGUUCCCCACAGCGGAGAUCUCAAAGGAGGCGACCCCGGCCAAUGACACGGGCCACAGAGGCUGGACGUUGCCCGCUCAUCAUGCAGGCGACACCACAACGGAAGACAAGGGCAGAGCGGAGUACAGUAGCCCAGAAGAGGGGACAAAGCUUCACCCGGGAAGAGCUGCAGCCUGGGGCCAGCCUCUGCAGCACCAGCAACCAGGACAGCCAGACCUCUGCCCACCACCCUUCCCGCCUCUCACAACACUCCGAGUUUCCAAGUUUCCACCUCCAGAGUCAGGCGCUACUGUUGGAAGCUUCCUGCAGACAAGCAGGCAGAGGCAAAGUGUGUGAAGGCUCCUCGUCCCGCCCGUCUCUGUUCACAGCAUCUUGCUCCUGAAGUCCAUAGUGAUGGCAUGGUGGCGGGCCGACGUAAACCUCUCAGAGUGCAUCGUCUUCUGGUCCCCUUCCAGCUGCUGCUCCAACACAGCCUCCUGCAAGGGACAGGUCCUCCCCGCGGGGCCACUGAGCAGCCACGUGCAGCCAUGUGACAUGGUUUCAGGCAGACUUGCUGCAGGUUGGGUGGCAGUGAUACAUUUAAAAUACCUUGUCUCUCUACUCUCUCUCAUUCCCAGCUGAUACAAGUGGCAAUUCAUAAAUGGUAAUUGGAUGAAUCAGCACAGAAUUAGACAUUUUGAUUGCAGGUAUCUCAAGUAAAUCAAGGUGUUGGGGCCCAAAGCACAAUACAGGCAGUGAGCAGAUAAACCAGACCAGGACUACAGGAAGCCCUCCCUCUGGUUGUCGGCCCGCGUGUGUGGUUUCUGUCCGCUUUCCUAGAAGUAGCUAUGUUAAGCACGCCCAGCUGUGCUCGGCACAGUGGCCUAAGCAGAGCCCUGGGAAGCAGCUCCCUCACCCCAGUUCAUCAGCACCUGAGCCCGGGCCAAGUGUCUGACCCCUCUGGGCUGCAGGUGGUCACCUGGAGGAUGUGCACAGGGACAUGCUACGGCGUGCGGCUCCUGCAGACACAGCCGAGUCCUCAGCCGCCUCAGAGAAGGCUGCGGGCUGAACACCGCAGCAGCCUGUGCACGGAGGAAGGCAGGCACAGGCUCACGGAGGGCACGGAAACAGCGGGCUGAACCACUACUGUGGGCUCUGCGGGCCAUGCAGGUGAGGGGCUGGACCCUCCCGAGGAUUAUCCAGCCCCGAGUUUGGGGGUUGUGGCCCUUCCUCGUCUUCAUGGUUCCUACUUGACUUGUACCUCUGCCCCAGUGGAUGUGUUGUGAGAAUGAAUAUGUUCCUGAUUGAUCAUGGAUGUCAUAUUUGACACUCGUGGACAUUUAACUUUUACUGGGAAUAUUCAGCUUUGAAAACUGAAAACUAUUUCUACACCUGUGGAGAGUCGGAGAUCAGGAGUGGGAGAUUCAGGGACUGAGGCAGGGCUUGAGCCCCCUUCUUGGGCAAGGCCCUGGGCCACAC
rnacentral:lncRNA from 1 species